UCUAUCGUACCCACCUAUAUUUUUAGUGGGUAUGAUACCCACCCAAAUCUUAACCGUAUAUUUUUAUUGUUUCAAUCUUGAUCGUUCAUUUAAGUUUAGUAGUGGACCUAUUACCGGUAGAAUAGGUAGCGUAUAAAAACAAAAGAAAGCCAAAAGAAAAAGAAAGAAACGAAGAACGAAAGAUUGGUAAAAAGAAAAAAGAGAACGAAAGACAAAAAGGGCUAAGAAGUUGAACAAGAGACCUGGCAAGCCACCGCCAUCGCCGCCGCCACUGUUACUGGUUCUGCAGAACAAUCUUCAUAUGGUCACAUUAUUGAUGAUAUCCUCCAUGAUUCGUCCCAGCUAAGUUUUAGAGUGAUUGAUACACCCACUGAUGGGAGGGAAUUGUUGGAGGCAUUGAAGGAUGUUGAAGACCAUUUUAUCAGAGCUUAUGAUUCUGGUUUGGAAGUUUCUAGGAUGCUGGAGGCCAAAAGAGUUCCAAUGCUAUCUGGUUUGAAGGAAAUAAAAGGCGUUUGCAACCAUGCCUUCCGGUUCCACUACGUCAGUCGAGGAUUGAAAACUCUCCAAGUUUGCCCAUUGGUGAUGUACUAUGUUUUAUGGAUCUGUUCCUUGAGUUAUUUGGAUGUGAAAACGUGCAUGGUUGGAAGUCACCAACUACAAAAUGUGGCAAAUGCCCACUCAUGCAACAUUUUGCCUUCGUAAUCGAGGUUUCUUUGAUUGUGUUCUCCACCAAAGGGAAGCUUUUUUUAGUAUUCUAUCGAUUUCAGGUUUAUAAUUCUAUUACAACAUUUUUCGUUUUGUCAUUUUAUUACUAGUAAUAAGAGCAGCGUGUAUGAAAUUGUCAGUUUGUAAGAAAAUUUGGCACAAGUUAAGCCUGGAAAAAGAGCUAGAUUCCAUUACAUGUUCAUUUCCUUAUAAUUUAUGGGUGUCACCCUUUGUUUCUCAGUUCUUUUAGGUAGUUAUGAAGAAUCUAAUUUAUAGUUUUAAAUUUUGGUAAGAGCGUUUUAACAAUGAUAUCAUGUAUAUUUUAUGCCAAAGUCUCCAACCCCAAUGAAGAUGGAAAAUUAUAGAUUUAUGGGCUAUUAUCAAUUAUCUUUGUAAUUAAUAAAGAGAUGAUGAACUCCACUUUGUUUUUUUAUUUUAGUAAGCAUUAGUUGGUGCAGCUUUGCAAUUUUUGUAACAAUACUAUUAAUUGCUUGAUUAUGUCAUUGAGCCAUUCAUGUAACAAUACUAUUAAUUUUGCUAACUUGCAAGUGGACAUGUUGAUAAUUAGCUUUGCACAUUCUUUUUAUUUAAAUUUGUAUUGUUGAGUUUUCAAACAUUGUUAUGUAAAAGCAAAGUAACAUUAUUCUGUAGAAUCUUGUGCACUUGUUGUGAAGCUCUGAAUUUCCUGAUUUUGGUUUAAUCUUGGACUGUGUAUAAUCUUAACAUUGAUCUAUACAUAUUAGAUUUUUAAAUAUAUUUUAUUUUAGUUUUGAUUUUGGAAAUGCAUAGGAGAUAUUUGUGAAAUUAUCUGUUAGAAACUUUGAAGUGAUGUUAAGCUAUUUUAUAUGCAUGUUAUGCAGUCUUGAAGGUGAUUCGUCAGAUUGAGAAAUGCACCAGAUUGCAGGAGCUCUCUCAAGUUUGCUAUGCUCCUAUUGGACCCUUGGAAUGAUAAGUCAGGGAGCUCUUGGAUUGUGCCCUGCCGAAACCUCCUGCACCAUGUCUAAGUAAUAACUCUUUUUUUAUUCCAACCGGUCAAUUGCAAUUUUGGCCUUAGGGAAUGCAAGAAUUAGGUUUGGCCCUUGGAAAAAAAAUGUUGAAGUAUGAACUAUGAAAUAGACUUGUCAUGAGUCAUGACUAUGACAUUAUUUUUGCAUUUUAUUGUUGCUAUUGUAUAAUCAAAUCACUGAGCAAGAUGUUGCAUCUUUAUGUCGUAGUUA